AGUUAAUUACUUUAGAAAGUUUUAUGUUUUGAAAGCAUAAAUUAAGGGUUAAAUUCCCUUAUUAACUU
rnacentral:tRNA from 1 species